rnacentral:sRNA from 1 species
GCUAAACUCGAUGAUUCGCGAGAACGAGGCAUGGUUCAAGUCACAAAAAGCGUGUGCCGCACUUGUUGCCAAUAUUCUAACAUGCACGACAUCAGUAAUAAUCUCAAGCCCAGCACCAAUAUCAUCACAGGAUACAUUCCGUGAAUCUCAACUAGAUCUCGUUCAAUGGGUGAUUAAAAGCCGAAAAAUCGAUUGUUUGACACUGGGAAGAGACUUUAUUCUGAUAUUGAUUAGACUUGGCAAAAUGCCACAAAUCGAGGAGAUUUGGAAGGAUAUUGUGGCGAAUCCGGCGAGUUUUGGUGUGUCGAAUUUGGAAGAGUACAUGACGAAACAGAAUGUUCUACAACACGUUCGAAUCUCUAUAGAAUUGGAGAGAAAAGUGCAAUUUAUGGUUGUAAAUGGUGGAAAAAACCUGCUCACCUACUUCACAUGGUUGAAUAAUAAGUUCUUUCGGGCGAAUGAUGGACCGGCUCUGCGAGCUGAAUGUGUUCGAUAUGUUCUAUCGAUGAAUUUGGAUCCGGCUAAAGCGUUGCCAAAUGCACAGGAGAAUCGCGUUCAGUUGUUGCAUUUAUUGAUUUCUACUGUGCCGGUGAGAGCACACACGCUUUUUUUUCGAUGUCGAAAAAUGAGAAAUUUGCCGAUUUGUCAACGAAAAAAAACCACAACUUGCCGAACAUUUUCCGCAGACCGGAAAUUUGCCGGAAAUUUGCAAUUGUGGCAAUUUGACGGUUUACCGAUUUGCCGGAAAUUUGCAAUUCCGGCAAUUUGCCGAUAUGUCGGAAAUUUUCAAUUAUGGCAAUUUACCUGCUUAUAAAUUGAAAAAUCAAUUUUUUUUGGGAAAGAAUAUUUGCUUUUUGAUUAAAAAAAAAUAUAGUCAACCGAUUUUUAAAUUUUUGAAUCGAAAAUCGACUCGAAAACUACUGUAAUCCAGCAGUAUUCCGGCAUAUCGUCAGAUUGCCGGAAUUGUAAAUUUCCGGAAAGGAAUUGAUUCCGGCAAAUCGGUAAAUUGCCGGAAUUGAAAUUUCUGGCAAAUAGGAAACCGCCAAAUUACUGGAAAAACAGCAAUCGCUGAAAAUUUUCGGCAAAUUGUGGUUUUUUUUGUUGCAAAAAUUGCCGAAAAUUAAAAUUUCCGGCAUAUCGGCAAAUUGCUGAAAUUGCAAAUUUCUGGCAAAUCGGCAAACUGGCAAAUUGCCGGAAAAAGGGCAAUUGCUGAAAAUUUUCAGCAAAUUAUUGUGUUUUUUUGGCAAACCGGCAACUUGCCGGAAUUCAAAUCUCCGGCAUAUCUGCAAAUUGCUGAAAUUGCUAAUUUCCGGCAAAUCGACAAAUUGCCGGAAUUUAAAUUUCCAGCAUACCUGCAAAUUGCCGGACUUGAAAUAUCCGGCAUAUCUGCAAAUUGCCGAAAUUAAAAAUUUCCGGCAAAUUGGCAAUUUGCCGAAUUUUUCGACAAAAUAAUUUGCCUGUUUUCGCAUUAAAAUUAACAUUUUUCAACACUACAGUAUCCAAUUUUUCGGUGUUUUUUUUCAAAUUGAAAAUCGAACAUUUUCGAUAACGGUGAACUACAAUAAUCCUACAGUACCCUCAAUAAAAUUUCGUGUUUUUUAUGAAACUAGUAAUCCUACAGUACUCCUGCACUAUAGCUCAUUUUUCUGAAAAUACAGUUAUCCUACAAUAUUUUUCGAUUCACAAUUUGACUUUUAAAACACCGAAAAAUAAAGAAAAAAAUCGAUCAAAUGGUAUGCAUUCGUGGAAAUUGUAGAAAAUUUACUUCGAAAUAGAGAAGAAGUAUCCUGAAUGGGGAAAUUGUUUUAAAAUGUAGUAUUCGUGCUCAAACUUACGAAUAUAACAAAAGAAAAACGGGAAAACCCGUUAACAUUGAGCAUUUUUAGCCAGAAAAAUCGGCGAAAAAUCUUUAAAAUUUAACUAAAGAAAUCCUAGGCCAUGAGGAUUUUCGAAUAUUUAUUCUGUUCUGUUUUAUAUUUUUAAUAAGUAUUUUAUGCAAUUCCUUCGUCUCAGUUUUCUCAAACUUUUUGAGAAAGAAAAACUAAUUAAAGUUUGAAAAAUAACAUCUAAAUCAAUGUUUUGUUGAACGAAUAUGGCCUAGGGAUCACGUGGUGGCCUAGGAUUCAUUCGCGCGAGAAUUUGAAAUUACUCCGCUUAACGGGAAAAUCCGUUAACAUUGAACAAAUCGCCACUGAAAUCGACGCAAGCGGAUGAAAGCGGAGUAAUUUCAAAUUCGCGCUUGAAUGAAUCCUAGGCCACCACGCGAUCCCUAGGCCAUAUUCGUUCAACAAAACAUUGAUUUAGAUGUUAUUUUUCAAACUUUAAUUAGUUUUUCUUUCUCAAAAAGUUUGAGAAAACUGAGACGAAGGAAUUGCAUAAAAUACUUAUUAAAAAUAUAAAACAGAACAGAAUAAAUAUUCGAAAAUCCUCAUGGCCUAGGAUUUCUUUAGUUGCAUUUUAAAGAUUUUUCGCCGAUUUUUCUGGCUAAGAAUGCUCAAUGUUAACGGAUUUUCCCGUUUUUCUUUUGUUAUAUUCGUAAAUUUCAGCACGAGUACUACAUUUUAAAACAAUUUCCCUAUUGAGGAUACUCCUUCUUAAAUAAAAAAAAAUUGACAUAAUAUUCCAGUCGGGACCCGAACUACAAUGGCUCAAACUGUGCCUAUUCGCCGACUGGUUCGGAUGUGAUGAUAAGAAUUCGGCGAAUUUGAUGUGUGUCGAAAAUUCGUUUUCAGUUGUCAG